rnacentral:rRNA from 1 species
GACGAACGCUGGCGGCGUGCUUAACACAUGCAAGUCGAACGGUGAAGCGCUUGCCUUUUUGGUGGGUGUGGAUGAGUGGCGAACGGGUGAGUAACACGUGAGUAACCUGCCCUCUUCUUCUGGAUAACCUCAUGAAAGUGGGGCUAAUACGGGGUAUUCCGGGUCUGUCGCAUGGCGGGUUUGGGAAAGAUUGCGCCUUUGGGUGUUUUCGGUGGGGGAUGGGCUCGCGGCCUAUCAGCUUGUUGGUGGGGUGAUGGCCUACCAAGGCGGUGACGGGUAGCCGGCCUGAGAGGGUGGCCGGCCACACUGGGACUGAGACACGGCCCAGACUCCUGCGGGAGGCAGCAGUGGGGAAUAUUGCACAAUGGGCGCAAGCCUGAUGCAGCGACGCCGCGUGAGGGAUGGAGGCCUUAGGGUUGUGAACCUCUUUCGCCAGUGAAGCAGGCCUGCCUCGUUUGUGGGUGGGUUGACGGUAGCUGGAUAAGAAGCGCCGGCUAACUACGUG